CUCAGCGUCCAAGGAUCUCACAGACUUUCUUCUUUGCGGCAUCCUCAUCUUGGGGGUCAUGAUGCAAAAAGAUGAUGAAAAGUGGUCUAGAGAGUGGAGAAGGGUUGGAUUGAACCAAAAUCAAAGAGGAGAAGAGGAUUUUUGAGUGAUUUCCCAUAGAUUUGAUGGCUAGGGCUUGAAGAAUUGGAGAAAACUAAAAAUGACCCAUGAGAAAGAUG
rnacentral:lncRNA from 1 species